GAACAGCUAUGAACAAAUGAAUGGAUCAGCUACAGGUGUAAAUGUUUCUCCUUGAGGUGGUUAGGAGAAUAUGAAUGUCUCCCUGAGUAUAGGGGCAGUAAAUAUGUGGCUCAGCCCAACAAACAGUAUAAAAACUAAAUGAAAAAAAAGCAUUCUGUGUAGGGCAGUGUAACAGCAGGCUUCAGUUCUAGGGAUGUAUUGUUGAUGAUUGGAAUGACUGGCAUCAUGAUGAAGGCUGUCAAGUAUUUUAUACCAGGUCCAUGUGAGGGAGCACUGACUAAGACCAUUACAUGCUCUUUUCUGGUUUCUGCUAUCUUUCUUCAGCCCAAAGGACUAUUAAAAUUAUCCAUUAGUGAAACAGCAAUAUCCUCUGUGAUCUACUACAUAUCAGAAGAAAUGGGUGGCUGUGAUUAUAGUAGAAACAUUACAUGAAAAAAAUGCCAAAAAUAUGUUAAUGUGCUAAUUCUGAAUUAUAUUCCAGAAUUCUUUGAAGAUAAAUGUAUAUAUUUUUUUUUGUGUGUGUGUAAGACUUUUGUCUAGACUAUAAAAAGAGGCAUUAAAAAGUUGUAAGUAUAUUUUAAUUGAGAGCUGUUUUUAAAAGUGUUAGCAUCUAAAUACUGAAACCUUCAAAAGCAAUUUCAGUGCCUACCAAAACAGAUUCUAAUGUUUAUAUUGAUUGUAUUGGGAUGAGAGGGGAUGCUUGCAAAAGGAGAUUUAAUAGAUCUAAGAACAAUAAAGUGAAGUUUCAACAUGAACAGGCAAACCAAAAGCAAUGCUAUUUCAACCAGUUUUUCAACAAGUGUAAAUAUAUUUACACUUGUAAAUGUAAAUGUUGUAACAUUUACAUUUUAACUUGUAACUUUACAUUGUAACUUGUAAAUGUUUAUUCAACCCUUUUGCUGUUCUAUCACAUUUUCUUUAUUUAAAAUUGUUUACACCAUAUGAAUACAUAUUACACCAUAUGAAUAGUUUUUAUCUGCUGAUUUUGGAUUAAUCAUUUACUGAGACCAUUGGAAAGCAGAGUUUGUCAAUACUAACAAUAGUAUUUUUAUUCCCUGAAUAGAUAAUUGUGAAUUUUAGAAUCAUGCUUUAAAUACAUAUUCCUCAGUAUUUUUUCCAGUCUGGAUGAAGCAGGUAGGGAUAGACGUAAUAUAGAGAUGAACAAAUAAUGAUCAUUGUGUUGUACCAAAGUAGCACUGUCACUGUGGAGUAAUUUUAAGGAGUUAUUUACCUUAAACAGUCAUGUAAAGGAGGAAAUGAGGAGAUAAAUCACUUAAUUGAGUUUUGUGAAUUAUUGUGAACACAGUAGAGUUUAGACUUCAUGCAUGAAGAUAUAUUCACGCAUGAAAUAUAUCCACAUAGUGUUGUUAUAAACACAAAGUAAAAUAUAUUAUGGUUCCUCAGGUUUAAAUAAAGGCUACGUUGGCAUGAAGCAAAUAGAAUAGAAUCUUAUAGCAAAAGUAUUUUUAUUAUUAUUUAUUUAUUUAUUUUUGAAUAAGUGAGAUUUAGUGGCUGUAAAAUAUUAUUUGUAUUUGAAAGGAUGCAUAGGUGUGUUUCCUUAUACUAAAGAUGAGCUGGACUAUGUGCUUUUCCUGAAUUUAUGGAAUAAACUACAAUUUUGCUGUAGUCCUCAACUGGCUUAUAUUAAAAUAAAUAUUAAUAGAAUAAACCUUCUGUGCACAUC